GACGAACGCUGGCGGCGUGCUUAACACAUGCAAGUCGAGCGAAGCACUUAAGUUUGAUUUUUCGGAUGAAGACUUUUGUGACUGAGCGGCGGACGGGUGAGUAACGCGUGGGUAACCUGCCUCAUACAGGGGGAUAACAGUUAGAAAUGACUGCUAAUACCGCAUAAGACCACGGUACCGCAUGGUACAGUGGUAAAAACUCCGGUGGUAUGAGAUGGACCCGCGUCUGAUUAGGUAGUUGGUGGGGUAACGGCCUACCAAGCCGACGAUCAGUAGCCGACCUGAGAGGGUGAACGGCCACAUUGGGACUGAGACACGGCCCAGACUCCUACGGGAGGCAGCAGUGGGGAAUAUUGCACAAUGGAGGAAACUCUGAUGCAGCGACGCCGCGUGAAGGAUGAAGUAUUUCGGUAUGUAAACUUCUAUCAGCAGGGAAGAAAAUGACGGUACCUGACUAAGAAGCCCCGGCUAACUACGUGCCAGCCGCCGCAGUAAAAC
rnacentral:rRNA from 1 species